CGGGCAUAGCAAUAUGUCAGCGGCAGACGGGUGAGUAACGCGUGGGAACGUACCUUUUGGUUCGGAACAACUGAGGGAAACUUCAGCUAAUACCGGAUAAGCCCUUACGGGGAAAGAUUUAUCGCCGAAAGAUCGGCCCGCGUCUGAUUAGCUAGUUGGUGAGGUAAUGGCUCACCAAGGCGACGAUCAGUAUCUGGUCUGAGAGGAUGAUCAGCCACAUUGGGACUGAGACACGGCCCAAACUCCUACGGGAGGCAGCAGUGGGGAAUAUUGGACAAUGGGCGCAAGCCUGAUCCAGCCAUGCCGCGUGAGUGAUGAAGGCCCUAGGGUUGUAAAGCUCUUUUGUGCGGGAAGAUAAUGACGGUACCGCAAGAAUAAACCCCGGCUAACUUCGUGCCAGCAGCCGCGGUAAUACGAAGGGGGCUAGCGUUGCUCGGAAUCACUGGGCGUAAAGGGUGCGUAGGCGGGUCUUUAAGUCAGGGGUGAAAUCCUGGAGCUCAACUCCAGAACUGCCUUUGAUACUGAAGAUCUUGAUUUCUUGAGAGGUGAGUGGAACUGCGAGUGUAGAGGUGAAAUUCGUAUAUAUUCGCAAGAACACCAGUGGCGAAGGCGGCUCACUGGCCCGAUACUGACGCUGAGGCACGAUAGCGUGAGGAGCAUACAGGAUUAUAUACCCUGGUAGUCCACGUUGUAAACGAUGAAUGCCAGCCGUUAGUGGGUUUACUCACUAGUGGCGCAGCUAACGCUUUAAGCAUUCCGCCUGGGGAGUACGGUCCCAGAUUAAAUCUCAUAGGAUUGAUGUGUGCCCGCACAAGCGGAGGGAGCAUGUGGUUUUAUUCUACGCGACGCGCAGAAAUCUUAUCAGCCCCUUGACAUCCCGGUCGCGGACUCCAGAGACUGAGUUCUACAGUUUCGGCUGGAUCGGGAUACAGGGGCUGCAUGC
rnacentral:rRNA from 1 species